rnacentral:rRNA from 1 species
AGUGAACGCUGGCGGUAGGCCUAACACAUGCAAGUCGAACGGCAGCACAGUAAGAGCUUGCUCUUACGGGUGGCGAGUGGCGGACGGGUGAGGAAUACAUCGGAAUCUACUUUUUCGUGGGGGAUAACGUAGGGAAACUUACGCUAAUACCGCAUACGACCUACGGGUGAAAGCAGGAGAUCUUCGCACCUUGCGCGAUUGAAUGAGCCGAUGUCGGAUUAGCUAGUUGGCGGGGUAAAGGCCCACCAAGGCGACGAUCCGUAGCUGGUCUGAGAGGAUGAUCAGCCACACUGGAACUGAGACACGGUCCAGACUCCUACGGGAGGCAGCAGUGGGGAAUAUUGGACAAUGGGCGCAAGCCUGAUCCAGCCAUACCGCGUGGGUGAAGAAGGCCUUCGGGUUGUAAAGCCCUUUUGUUGGGAAAGAAAAGCAGCAGAUUAAUACCCCGCUGUUCUGACGGUACCCAAAGAAUAAGCACCGGCUAACUUCGUG